AGUAUAACUCAGUGGUGGAGUGCUUGCCUUGCAUGCACGAGGCCCUGGGCUUAAUACCCAGUACU
rnacentral:tRNA from 1 species